rnacentral:rRNA from 1 species
CCUGGGAAACUGGGGUAAUACCGGAUGUGCCCUGAGGGGGAAAGGUUUUACCGGCAAGGGAUCGGCCCGCGUCUGAUUAGGUAGUUGGUGGGGUAACGGCCCACCAAGCCGACGAUCGGUAGCUGGUUUGAGAGGAUGAUCAGCAACACUGGGACUGAGACACGGCCCAGACUCCUACGGGAGGCAGCAGUGGGGAAUCUUAGACAAUGGGCGCAAGCCUGAUCUAGCCAUGCCGCGUGGGUGAUGAAGGCCUUAGGGUCGUAAAGCCCUUUCGCCGGGGAAGAUAAUGACGGUACCCGGUAAAGAAACCCCGGCUAACUCCGUGCCAGCAGCCGCGGUAAUACGGAGGGGGUUAGCGUUGUUCGGAAUGACUGGGGCGUAAAGCGCGCGUAGGCGGAUCGGAAAGUUGGGGGUGAAAUCCCGGGGCUCAACCCGGAAUGGCCUUCAAAACUCCCGGUCUUGAGUUCGAGAGAGGUGAGUGGAAUU